rnacentral:rRNA from 1 species
AGGACGAACGCUGGCGGCGCGCCUAACACAUGCAAGUCGAGCGAUAACCAGGGCUUGCCCUGGGGACAGCGGCGAACGGGUGCGUAACACGUGAGCAACCUGCCCCAAAGACCGGGACAACCCGAGGAAACUCGGACUAAUACCGGAUGCCCUCACCGGGCCGCAUGGUCUGGUGAGGAAAUGGAUUCCGCUUUGGGAUGGGCUCGCGGUCUAUCAGCUUGUUGGUGGGGUAACGGCCUACCAAGGCGACGACGGAUAGCUGGUCUGAGAGGACGAUCAGCCACACUGGGACUGAGACACGGCCCAGACUCCUACGGGAGGCAGCAGUGGGGAAUCUUGCGCAAUGGGGGAAACCCUGACGCAGCGACGCCGCGUGCGGGAUGAAGGCCUCGGGUUGUAAACCGCUUUCAGCAGGGACGAAAUUGACGGUACCUGCAGAAGAAGGCCGGCCAACUACGCGCCAGCAGCCGC